rnacentral:lncRNA from 1 species
GAAAGUAGUUAUUGCUUUUAAUUUUGGAUCCUAAAACACUAUAAAAGUACCACUCACCUAAACUUCCACAUAAUGAAGUGCAGUAACCCUUCUGGAAGAACCAGUGGAAAAGAAAAGAGAGAAAAAAAAAUAACAAAAGCAUCAGAAGCAUCACCCUGUGGCACCUGUUGACAGAGGGAUAAAGAAGAAAGUUUAAUCAUUGUUGUGUGACCCCCCUGGACAGCUUUGUGGUUGUCAAUCAGCAUCAUGCAGAGCUGUAGUGUGCCACUCGCAGUGGUGAUGACCAGGCCUGCCCCAGGUUUCUCCUUCACUAUUUUGUAGGACAUCUGUAGUUCUUCCUUUAUCCAGAUUUGUUGCUCAUUCCCUUAAGAUCCCAAUUUAUACAGUCCAUUUUCAAGAUUCAAAUAAAUUUGGAUUUGUUAUAUCUGCAGGUAGAUAUCAGAACAUUCACCUUGCACUCUUUCCUUUGUUCAAGGAGCUUUAUGAGGUUUUUCUGUUUACUGGUAUUAUUUUAUUUUUCAGCUAUAAAUUAACUUUAUAGUAAGCAUAUUUACUCCUGUGCCAGG